GGAUUACGACAAUGACUUCUGUACGAUCUGACAAUGAAAAUUACAAGACACCCAGUAAAUGUGUGCGGAUUAUAUCUACUGCGUGAAUAAGUAUAGACAAUCAUUUUAAUGAAACCUGGCUAAUAUAUAUGAUUGAUUGGUUAUUUGGAGAAUAACAAUUCCUUUAAUUUAGUUUCUUAUUAAAGUGUGGUUCUUAUGGUAGCAAAUGUAACAAAUGCCUCUUUAGGUAGGUGAUUUCAUUGUUGACUAAUAGGCUUGUUUAAGUAUGUUCUGAUAUCAAAAAUAUGAAAUACUGAAUAUCUUUAAAACCAGUUAAGUUUAAGUUUCUAAGUUUAAUUCAAUUUGAUGAUAACAUAUAUUCAUUUUCGACAUCUUAAAAUAUAUUUUGGAAUGGCAAUACAUCACUUAGAUAUUUUUUAACGUUCGAGUUUGGGCUAUUAAUUCAAUAACUCAUAAAUACUGUAGAAUAUUUGUAUGAUCUUUUCUUCUCAUAUUUAAAGAUAUCUUCAAAUUGAUUUUAAGAUAUCCAAAAGGUGUUUCUAUUUGGAUAUCAGUGUUUCUUUUGAUUCUAUCCCGAAGUAAAAUAUUCUUUUCAUUUUCCCAAAUUCACUGUCUUCACAUUGGAGAUGGAGUGGAGGUAUUAUGUGGAUUCUGUUACUAUUCAAAUCGACACAUAACAACCCACCUAUAUUCCUAAGUUUUAAGGCAAUACCUUAAAUAGCUUUGACGUUAAUGUGGCGUCGAAUAGAGGUUUAGGUGUUUUGUGGGGAGGCGGUGACGAAUUUCUAAGCUACAAGAAACUAAUUGAUUCUUUGUGUGUGUGUGUGUGUGUGUGUGUGUGUGUGUGUGUGUGUGCGUGUGUGUGUGUGUGCGUGUGGUAAUGUGGAUUGUUUCACUGAUAAAAUUGUCUUAUCACAACCAUCUAAACUCCAAGUUUAAAGUUAAUAUCUUGAGUGGUUUUGAAGUUUUAUUAUUGACAAGAACAUAAAAUACAAAGGACAUUGGACAUUUUUACUCAAUGUGACCUUGACCUUCUGACCAAUUUAAUGCCCUCUCUGCACGUCGUCUCAUUGCCGCCUACCUACAUGCUUAUACGUUUGAAGUGAAUACCUUGACUGAUUAUCAAGUUAUGCUCUGGGCACAAGAUAUAAUAGACUAAUUUUACCUCGCUGUAAGUAUGACCUUUGAUUAACUUAUCUGGUUUCUGCUCUCUGCAAAUUGUCUUAUCGCAAUCCACCUAUAUGCCAAGUUGAAAGUCAAUACCUUGAGUGGUUAUUAAGUUAUGAUCUUGACACGAAAUAAGAGAGACACAUUUUACCUUUGAGCCCCAAUUGUGACCUACCUUGGACCCAACGACGUGGUUCUUGCGCUCUGCAUAUCGUCUUAUCGGUACCUACCUAUAUGCCAAGCUGAAAGUCAAUACCUUAAAUGGUUAUUGAACUAUUCUCCAGGAACGAAUUACUACGAACGGACAGACGACGAACGCAUGCACACACGCACGCGCCAUCAGGUAGUACGUCCGAUUUUUUUUCCAAAACGGGCGUAUCAUAAUGACGAAAAAUAGUUAAAGGAACAUUGCUCUGAAUAUUAUUUUACAAUGAUAAAGCUGCACUUCUUUAAAGGGACUUGGAGUACUUUCCGAUUUAAGCUUUAAGUAGAGAACUACUUUACAAAGGCACAACAAUAUCAUGAUAUUAGUCUAGGAGAAUAAGCAUUUAUAUCACGAAGCAACUGGUAUAAUUAUUAAAAACAUCCAAAUGGAGAUAGAGAACUAUAAGAAUAAGACAGCGAUAUUACAAAUCAUUUUUAUUCAUUCUUUGAUUCUCUUUAUAGAUAUCUUUAAUUUCAUUUGCGAUAUCAAAAAUAUCCAUUCAUUUCAUGAAAUAAUAUAUCAUUUAAUGGAAUCAACAAAAUAGUUCUAUCUUAAUAGUGCUACACCCCUUCUGCCAACGGUUUAAGAGGAUAAGCUUAAAGACAUUCAAUUGACUACGUUACUCAACAGGAUCAGAAACAGUUAAGACAUUAUAUUGUCAAUCUGCAUUUGGAUAAUCGUCAUAAAAUAGUGUAAAGUGUGUGAAAGACUGUAGCAAGCAAGAUUCUGUGCACAAUUAUAGAAACCCUCUUUUAGCUGUACGUGUUAAAGUCAUAAACAAUUUUUAGAAAGUUCGCUUGUUCAAAAUUAUCCGAAAUAAUGAAAACAUAUGACUUGUUUUUACUCAGUAUCACAUAUAAUUCAUAGCUUGUCUUAGGGCUAUUUCAGUCACUGCAUCUGCAUUGAGUUAACAAACACAUUCUAUGUUAUACUAUAAUGCAAACAAAUGUACAGGAAAAAAGGAAUUCAAACACUGCAAUGCUAAUUAUCUAAAUGAAAUAUGAUGCAAAAUACGUGCGCGUAUUUAUAGAUAUAGUUUUAGGAUUACUUUUGUGUAAUUAUUAGGUGAGUACAAGAUGCUAGACAGGACGUUCAGCGGACCAGGAACGUUAUUUCAGAACAUGAUCACAGAACGGGGGUUUCAAACCGCCAAGAUGUGAAUGUAUAUAUAAUUGAUGAGCGCAGGGAACCUGAAAUUCAACACAAUGAGAAUGUAAAUGCAAACAAUGAAAGCAAUAGGAGAGGAAUAAACAGAUGCGGAUACAUCUUUGAAAAUAUUAGAACCUAUGUAAGAUUUGUUGGCGUCAGAAUUUCGAACAGAAAUACUAAAUUACUAUCAGCGUUUAUAAUUGCCUUCUCAAAAAUUACAUUUGGCAGAUUUGUUGCAGAAUCCGAAAAAACAAUAGCCUGUGUAGUAAGAAGUUUCAGAGGAAGAUUCCAAGCAUGUAAAACGAACUGUUUGUCGAUUUGUGACAGGCGCAGUCAAGUUGACCUCUAAAUGUGUACCGGAAAGAUCGGUUGCUGUCUAUUUGUUUGUAAAAGCUUGCGUGGCAGCCGUUUUCUGGGGAGUUAUGUGCGUAUGGACUUUCAAACGAAUUCUAGGAAAAACUUUAGACAACCGCUUUGUGGAAGUGUAUCUUGUUGUAGAAUCGCUUUUCUCCAUUUGCUGGCUGUUUAUAGGAAUGUUUUAGCACGAUUUUCAUAAGGCAUAUUAUAUAAAACACUAUUUAAGAUAUUAAUUAUCAAGAAAUUACAAUUAAUAUAACUGUAGCAUUGUAUAUUAUCCUGAAUAAUUCUAACAUUAUUAUCAUUUGACAUUUAUGAUUUUAUAGUAUUUUCUGCAAAACCUGAAGUUCAACGAGAUGAGUAUACAUUUCACACAAAUCGCAUGACGAGAUGUGUCACUUUUUCAUGCAUAAUAUGCACGUGUGGCAGUGUGAGCUUGGAAACAUGAUAUUUAUAUAUGCUCUAAUUACAAAUUAGAGUACAAUUCCGUACAUUUAGAUUAUAUAAUUACAUGAGCUAAAUGGCGAAACUGUGUAAUUAGUUUGCAUGUGUUGUUUGUUUUUUGCAGUAAAAAACAAAGACAAAUAUCAAACAGGGAAUGCACGCAACAAAAACGCAGCCUCCUCAAAACGAAACCCACAGCACGCAGACGCGUGCAUCACACACACACACACACACACACACACAUGUAAACGCAACCAAUCGGGGAUGUAAGCUGUAAACCUACCAACUGGGAACUUCUUUAUUACUGUAGCUACAGUUAUCAUAUUUCUAUAAACUCUUAUUCUUAUGAUCUUAAAAUUAUCCGAGGCUUUAGAUUAAAGCUAUCUUCAAUUGUUAAGCAAUGAGAUUUUUCACAUUCAGAGCGGGGAAUAUUGUGUUUAAACCAACUGAGGUGAAUGUGUAACAAACCGGGUGUUUGUGUAUAGACGAAAUCUGGAAUUGUGUGUUUCAACAAAACGGGGAGUUAGUGUAAAGACUAAAUGAGGUACAAGUGUAUAACCAACCGUGUACGUGUGUAAAGUUAAAACGAGGAACUAGCUAUUAAAAUGGUGAAUGCGGAAGCUCCUGUUACAUAUCAUAUAUAUGAGAAAAGACAAUCGAGGGAGUUAAUUUGAUUUGAUGGGUUUUACGCCAUUUUAAACACUAUUUCAGUUAUGUCAGGUGGGCAGUUUACCCAACAAUCGUUCCUGGAAAAAUCAAGUACUAGUACUCAAGCUGUCAUCUUUCUUAAAUAAAGAGACCUGGUCGGUAGCAAGGAUUGAACCCAUGCUCCUUAAUCAGUGAGUACUUAAGAGUGAUUUUAAGUCAGCGAUUCUAACCACCCGAAAACAGAGGCGGUCAGACAAUAGAGAAAGUUCUAUAUUCUGUAUGUAGGUACAUGUAGCACGUCAAUCAUUCGACAUUCAAUCAAAAAUUGUCCAUGUCAAAUGUUAACAUUAAAAUAACUGUUUAUGACAAGACAUAGAACAAUCGAAGAACAAACCAGACUCAUGAUGCAGAGACAUAAUAAAGCACAAAACAGUAUCUUGUUUUAUCAGUUGUGUGCUUAAAUCACUUCCCAUUGCCUACAGCAACUUUUGAACUUCGAUAUUAUAAGAUUCUUUCACUGGAUGUAGGUGCAGAUAGGAAUAUCCGGCCUCGAGGGUAACUGUUUAGGCGGUAACGAGGCUCUCUGUUGAGUUACCGCCUAAACAGUUACCCGAGAGCCGGAUAUUUCCAUCUGCACCUAUAACCAGUGGUAGAAUCUUUUUCUUGCAUACCGGUUUCAAGAAAUAAUAAUAAUAAUAAAAAUAAAAUCAACUGAACAGCUGUAGCGAGCGAGAAAAAAUGCCCCAAUCCCUGGACCCGCCCUUGAAUCUGUGCUAAGCAGACAAUUUAUUUUUCGUUCAAUUCUACUCGUUCAAAAGACAGAAUUAACAGUCAAACAUAUUAGUGUGGUUCCUUUAAAAACCAUUCGGAUUAACGAAACCAUGCAUACAACAAAAACACAGACAACUUAUUUGGAUAAGCUCCCAAUCAGCGUGAUAUUCAGUAUAUUUUCCAUAUGUUGUGUUCCUACAUUUAAACUGUGUAUUAUUAUAUAUACAUUGUACACAUUUUCAUGAUUUAAACUAUAGUACAGUUUACUAUUUAAUCAUGAUAAGUUUC